rnacentral:rRNA from 1 species
UACAGAGGUCUCAAGCGUUGUUCGGAUUCAUUGGGCGUAAAGGGUGCGUAGGCGGCGCGGUAAGUCGGGUGUGAAAUCUCGGAGCUUAACUCCGAAACUGCAUUCGAUACUGCCGUGCUUGAGGACUGGAGAGGAGACUGGAAUUCCCAGUGUAGUGGUGAAAUACGUAGAGAUUGGGAAGAACACCAGUGGCGAAGGCGGCUAUCUGGACGGUUUCUGACGCUAAGACGCGAAAGCGUGGGGAGCAAACAGG